rnacentral:rRNA from 1 species
GUAGGGGGCRAGCGUUGUCCGGAUUUAUUGGGCGUAAAGAGCGUGUAGGCGGCUUGGUAGGUCCGCUGUGAAAACUCGAGGCUCAACCUCGAGAUGUCGGCGGAAACCACUUGGCUAGAGUCCGGAAGAGGAGAGUGGAAUUCCCGGUGUAGCGGUGAAAUGCGCAGAUAUCGGGAAGAACACCUAUGGCGAAGGCAGCUCUCUGGGACGGUACUGACGCUGAGACGCGAAAGCGUGGGGAGCGAACAGGAUUAGAUACCCUGGUAGUCCACGCCGUAAACGAUGGGUGCUAGGUGUGGGCGGUGUCGACUCCGUCCGUGCCGAAGCUAACGCAUUAAGCACCCCGCCUGGGGAGUACGGCCGCAAGGCUA